UACGGGGGGGGCAAGCGUUGUUCGGAAUUACUGGGCGUAAAGGGCGCGUAGGCGGCUUGACAAGUCCCGGGUGAAAUCCCUCGGCUCAACCGAGGAACUGCCUUGGAAACUGUCUGGCUUGAGGCCGGGAGAGGGUAGUGGAAUUCCCAGUGUAGCGGUGAAAUGCGUAGAUACUGGGAGGAACACCGGUGGCGAAGGCGGCUACCUGGACCGGUUCUGACGCUGAGGCGCGAAAGCGUGGGUAGCAAACAGG
rnacentral:rRNA from 1 species